rnacentral:tRNA from 1 species
GGGUAGUUUAAUUUAGAAUUCUAGCUUUGGG